rnacentral:rRNA from 1 species
CCUACGGGUGGCAGCAGUGGGGAAUAUUGGGCAAUGGUGGGGACUCUGACCCAGCAAAGCCGCGUGAAGGAGGAAGGUAUUCGGAUUGUAAAAUUCUGUCGCGAGGGAUGAAGAAUGACGGUACCUCGUAAGAAAGCCCCGGCAAACUACGGACCAGCAGGCGCGGUAAUACGUAGGGGGCGAGCGUUGUCCGGAGUGACUGGGCGUAAAGGGAGUGUAGGCGGCAUAUUAAGGUAUGUGUGAAAUCCCGCGGCUCAACCGCGGAAUUGCACAUAAAACUGGCAAGCUGGAGUUCAGGAGAGGUAAGUGGAAUUCCCGGUGUAGCGGUGGAAUGCGUAGAUAUCGGGAGGAACACCAGAGGCGAAGGCGACUUACUGGACUGUAACUGACGCUGAGGCUCGAAAGCGUGGGGAGCAAACAGGAUUAGAUACCCGUGUAGUC